AAAUUCUGCAAGUUUUCUUGUAAAUUUGGCCAAGUACUGCAGAAUUCCUGGAAGACUGCAGAAUACACAUACUCAGAACCAAGAAUGAAGAGACGUUGCGAGCCAUCCCCACUAUGCAGGGCACCAACGGGCUGCCGCAGCCCACUCACAACCUCCUGAAUACAGAAGCAGUUGUGUUUGUGCUUUCUAAACAAAUUAAAGAAAACCGUGUAAAAGAAUUCUUUGCAAUAGUCUUUGCAGAGCAGAGGAAGUACUAGGUCUCUUUCCAAGACUUCUCUCUCAGAGGGAAAAUUGCAACCCUUGCCUACAACCAGACUGACAGCAUAAUUUCUUAGGAAUCAAGAAUCAAUACAGGGUUAUUUCUUUAGAUUAAACCUUAAAAGCCCCCUUGGAGGCUGAAGAAGCAGAGGAUAGCCAUGCAUACACUUGAACGUGAAAAAUGGUCCUCUUUCAUUGGAGAGGUCUUCCUCUUCAGCUAAACCGACAGAGUGGUGAAAAGAAGAAGGGACCCCUUGUUGACCAAAAUAAUCCAGACAAAUCAAAUCGGCCCUUUCCAGCAAGGAGUGGAACAGCCCAAGGGUGGCUAGAUCACAUCUUCUGCUCACACCACCACUGAGCAACCCUCUCCAGGACUGCCACCUAUGCAUAGGUCAUGCCCUGUGCAAGAGCACAUAAAGUGGGAGCUGAAGUCCUGCCCAGGCUCCAUUCACCAAGCAGAGCUUAUGUUGUUGUGUGUCUGUGUCUACCCAGAGGAUGUGGGUCCUUUUUAAAAUGUGCACCAAUGCAUCUUGUAUGAGCUGGCACCAGCUCGGACCAUCCCACCCUCAUACCCUGGUCCUAUCCAGGGUUAUAUUCCCUACUUUAGAAGAAUUAAUUAUUUUUAUGAACGUAUUUAGUUUAUUGUAAAAAAUGAAAUAUAUGACACAAAUUGAAAUUAAUUUCAGAGGUAAAGGUCAGAAUAUUACCAUGUAUGUGAAUUAUGUUUGUAUGUAUAUGUAUAUAUCAAGAGAGUUAUAUGAAUAUACAUUUUUGUGUAUCAGAAGUGAGGACAAUUUAACUUUGUUAAGUGUUUGAAAUAAAAUUAUUUUGAGUUUUGGA
rnacentral:lncRNA from 1 species